CUGCUGCCUCCCGUAGGAGUUUGGGCCGUGUCUCAGUCCCAAUGUGGCCGUCCACCCUCUCAGGCCGGCUACUGAUCGUCGCCUUGGUGGGCCUUUACCCCGCCAACCAGCUAAUCAGACGCGGGUCCAUCCCAUACCACCUUGGUUUUCAAACAAAAAGCAUGCGCUUUCUGUUGUUAUGCGGUAUUAGCACCUAUUUCUAAGUGUUAUCCCCCUGUAUGGGCCAGGUUACCCACGCGUUACUCACCCGUCCGCCACUAAGCCUUUCCUUU
rnacentral:rRNA from 1 species